CUCCUUUCGAUCGGGACGAUANUGACGGUACCGGAAGAAGAAGCCCCGGCUAACUUCGUGCCAGCAGCCGCGGUAAUACGAGGGGGGCGAGCGUUGUUCGGAAUUAUUGGGCGUAAAGGGUGCGUAAGCGGUUUGGUAAGUUUCGUGUGAAAUCUCAUGGCUCAACUCUGAGUCUGCACGAAAAACUGCCGGGCUUGAGUAUGGGAGAGGUGAGUGGAAUUCCUGGUGUAGCGGUGAAAUGCAAU
rnacentral:rRNA from 1 species